GGGCACUUGGCACAGUUGGUAGCGCGCACGCUUCGCAUGCAGCUCGUCUUUGCGUGAGGUCAGGAGUUCGACUCUCCUAGUGUCCA